UCCUAUGUAGCUCAGUUGGUAAAGCAUCUGCCUGCAAUGCAGGAAACCUGGGUUCAAUUUCUGGGUCAGGAA
rnacentral:tRNA from 1 species